rnacentral:rRNA from 1 species
GCGGAAACGAGUUAUCUGAACCUUCGGGGGACGAUAACGGCGUCGAGCGGCGGACGGGUGAGUAAUGCCUAGGAAAUUGCCCUGAUGUGGGGGAUAACCAUUGGAAACGAUGGCUAAUACCGCAUAAUGCCUACGGGCCAAAGAGGGGGACCUUCGGGCCUCUCGCGUCAGGAUAUGCCUAGGUGGGAUUAGCUAGUUGGUGAGGUAAUGGCUCACCAAGGCGACGAUCCCUAGCUGGUCUGAGAGGAUGAUCAGCCACACUGGAACUGAGACACGGUCCAGACUCCUACGGGAGGCAGCAGUGGGGAAUAUUGCACAAUGGGCGCAAGCCUGAUGCAGCCAUGCCGCGUGUGUGAAGAAGGCCUUCGGGUUGUAAAGCACUUUCAGUCGUGAGGAAGGUGGUGUAGUUAAUAGCUGCAUUAUUUGACGUUAGCGACAGAAGAAGCACCGGCUAACUCCGUGCCAGCAGCCGCGGUAAUACGGAGGGUGCGAGCGUUAAUCGGAAUUACUGGGCGUAAAGCGCAUGCAGGUGGUUUGUUAAGUCAGAUGUGAAAGCCCGGGGCUCAACCUCGGAAUAGCAUUUGAAACUGGCAGACUAGAGUACUGUAGAGGGGGGUAGAAUUUCAGGUGUAGCGGUGAAAUGCGUAGA